GCAAGGCGUCCUGCUGAGGCUGAAAGAAAACAUGAGUUACGCAAGUCCAGGGCUGCCCGCACAUCAUUGACAGUGCCAUCACAUGUCUGCCCGACGUGUGACAGGACGUUCCAUGCCCGAAUCAGACUGAUCAGUCAUCUUCGGAUGCACAGAGCCCAGUCAUCGAACGAAUGAGUUGUUGAGGUCUUCAUCGACAACGAUGGAUAAACAUCAACGCUGAGACAAACAUGUCCACUCAACCCCAAGGAGGUGCCCUACAUAUUUCCAGUGUGGGAACAUUUCUCAAAAAAAUAAAAUAGAAUGGGCUGUCCCUCUCAAUGAUGGGUCUACACUGGUCAAUUCAUAGCAUUGCUGAAGAAAAGCAGAAACUCAGUCUCUGCUGAAAUUGCCUGGUCUCUAUAGGCUCUGAACAGUCUCAGUAUAUUCUAACUGACUUGGUUCUAUCUACGAAGAAAGAGCACCCUUAGGACAUUUAGUAUGAAGCUUAGCCUUGCCUUUGUCUGAAAGUAGUUUUAGGAAAAAAGUGUAUAAGCUGAUUAAAAAGAAACUUAAAGAUUACUUUCAGUAAAAUCUUAAGACACCAUGUCUUAAUGAGAAGACCUACAUGGAGGCCCUGGCACUAGCACUUGCAUUUCUCCUAUCUUUCUGGUCAAUGUCAUUACUACUAGCAAGGCUGUUCUGAUGGAAUGAUGAAAUAGGAACAUUCAGUUAAAUGGCUAGAAAUAUGGACUAUUAACUCUGUCAAUACAAAUAUUUAGAUCACAAGAAGAUGGAGGUUCUUUAAGUGGGAGAUAUACUCUCAUAAGGUCUUUUAGGAAUCUGGCCACCAUAAGUGUGAAGGUGUGGAGUACCCCUAAAUUUGAGGUAGUGGGAAUUGUCUGAAACUGGUAGUGGGAAUUGCCCACUUGAUGUCACAGAUACCUUCUGUGCAAAGGUGAAUUGAUAUAUGGAAAAGAUGGUCUUGGAAAUAGAGAUCUGUCUAUUAGUCAUGUGGAUCUAAGCUUGGGACUAAUGAUGUUGGAGUCACCCUCUGAACUUCAGCUUGCAAAUGAAAGUGUUCAGCUGUCUCAAGCCCAGAACAGGAUUACAGCACCCUCCUUCUUUUUGGGAAUCAGAAAAUAAGUAAAACCCGUUUCCCCUAUGAUCCUAAGGCACUAACUCUACUGCUCUGAGAUUAAGAAGUGACUGCAUCUCCUGAUGUAACAUACUUUCAGGAGAGGGGAUGGAGGAGAUCUGGAACUGGAUGCAUUAGACCAUCUCCACAAUUUCCAACACAUUUUCCCCCCAAAAUUAAAAACUGAUUCCCAAAUGGAGAGGAUACAAUAGGAGGAUUCUACAGAAUUUGUACAUUGUUCCCAUUAAGAAAUCGUAUCUGCUAUCUUGAGGACAAUAAAGGCUGAUGAUAACAGGGUGAUGGAUAAAGUUGACUUCCUUCUGGGGAAUUUUUGGCACAUCAUAAGCAGAUCAGGUUGCCUGUAUUGAGUGUAAAAAUAUUGACUUUGCUGUGCUUGAGGCUUAAGGUGCUUACACUUGGAGGUCUACAUUCCUGCAUCAAAGGAUCUCAACAUAGCAUGGGAGUUCUUCAAAGAGUGUAAGGCCUCAGCUGUUUUAGCACGGAAAAGCUCACAUCUCUCAAGGAAGAGUCUCAGUUGUAAUUUAUGCUUCUUUAGCAAUCCCUGGUGAUUGGAGCCAUGACGACUUCCUCAUAUCAAUUGAGAUAAUUUCCAGAUCUAUGACUGUAUCUGCAGCAUGAAGCGCUGCUUGGAAGAAUGUAUGCACCUUUGCCAGUCAGCAACAAACUCCUUCAUGUUGUGUUAAGGAAGUUUGUCUGCAAAGGCAUCUGCAAGAGCAACUUUGCCAGCUCUAAAACACUUUCAUUGAUGAGCACUGCAAGCAGUACUAGUACCAAGAGUCAUAGGAUGUCCAGGAACUUGUGUGUAUGUUGUGGUUUCUUUUUUUUUUUUUUUACUGGACCACCUCAGCUGGAAGCGUCAGUGUGUCAGCCAUUCUGUGUAACAAGUUGUGGAAUAUGUUGUAACCAUCUGGGGUUGAGGUAAAUGACACAAGAACCACCUCAUCCAGAGAUGACUAAUGAGCUGGAACAGGGUGGUCCUCUGCUUGUGACUACUAAUCAGAGCUAUAUCCAGUCUGUUUAGCAGGCUGUAAGGCUCUCAAGUGAGGUGAAGGGGGAUCUAGCCCUAGACUGAGAGGCAGACACUGGCCUUCCAGCAUGAUGCAUUCCCCACAGAGUCCAAUAAGGCCAAGGGGGAGGAUUCUAGGUCUAUGGUAAUAAGACAACCCUUGACUUUCUCUCUAGUGUAUACUGGCCUGAACACUUAGACCCCAUGGAAUUAGCCAAUUAAACUUCCCUUAGAGCCUGAAAAGAAGAAUGAAUAGUCCUCCUAAGGAGAAGCAACUGUACCAGCUAGGGUACAGGCAGCACCCUCAGACUGUGCUCUGGCCAGCACUGCUGAUGUGCUCAAUAGUGGUGUAGAAGCAGCAGUCAGAACCAGAGAGAUACCUUCACUACUGCUAAUAAUGGGAAACCCAGUACUGAAGAAACCAGUAAGGGUCUUCAAAUAAUGUAUAGACCUUUGGUACUAAAUACACUGAUACAAGGCAAACAAGUAGAUUUCAGUACCAAGGUAGAUAGUACUGUAGACAUCAGUACCAAAGGCUUCAUGCUAAGAGGUCAGUACUAGGCAUUUUAUGCAGUACUGAGGAAACUGGUCAAAGGUCCAGUGACCAGUGCCUGACUGGGUGCCAGAGACACCAUUUUUUAGGCCUCAUGCUACCCCUUUUUGUCUGAGGCUUGAGAGGGGGAUCUGGUAAAGGAUACCUAAAUCUCCUCUUUGUGUGGAGUUGGUGCUCUUUCUUCCCCUGGCCUUGGAGAUUUUACCAAGCAUCUUUAGGAGCAGGAACUUCAGCUCCAAGCACAGAGGAGCCAUCAGGAGAAUUUUUAGAUGACAAGUCCUCAAAAGUUUCUGAGUCAGGCAUCCCAGACUCUGAUGAGGAAUGCCUUAACUUCACUCAAAGGAGCUAUUUUAAACAAGACUACCUCCCCAGCAUUCUGGGUUCUUUUAGAAAAAGAUUUACAGAUUAUAUUGUUCUGUAAAGUGCCCCUUAUCCAAACUCAACAAGCAUCAACAAACUCAACAAGCGUUACAACCCCACACAAAGGGCAAUUUUUAAAGCCUAGAGAUUCGCAUUCAGUCAUAGUGAGCAAUCCCAGUAUUAGUGCUAAUUUUUAGGCAAAAAAACAAACAAGUGAGUCUUCUUCUGAAGGAAGAAAAACAAUCAAACAAAACCUCUAGAACUAAUCUUAAAGCCAAACUAAUUAACAGGCACCUUACUCUCUACAACUAUUUACAUAAGAAGCAGCUGCAUAGUAAACAAAGGUCCCCCGCUUCUACAAAUUUAAACUUGAAAGUGAUGAAAUGGAAGAGAGAGGCAAUUGAGGUUGCCCUGCCCUUUAUGCCCUCUGUUGGAGGCACAAGACACUCAGGUAACAGGCACGGCCCCCAACAUGGGUCACCAAAAGAAUAUGAACUCAAGUGCACUGGGCACAUUCACCACUAGUAGAAUAUAGUAUAUGGACAAGCAUCUGAAGGAGGGGCCUCAGCAAAUAACUGAUUUAAAGUUUCUUUAAUCUUUUAAAACCCCAUAAUAUAGCCAGUCUACUCCCCAUACACCAGGUACUGCUGUCCCAGCACACAACAUACUGCUGCCAUCCUUGUCUAUAUGGCACCACAUUGACGGGCAAUGUUGUGGAGAAGGUUUGGGGUGAUAAGUAAAUAUUAAUUAUUUUCCACCUAUGUCAUUUUACAAAGCUUUCCUUUUAAAUAUUUAGAGCAUUAAGGAACACAAACAAGCAGAAAACAGCUUGAUCAGAACACAACACCUGAACCUCUCAAAACUUUUAAUAAAUCUUCCCCCCUUCACCACAGUACUUUGAGAUUUCAUAGUAAAACAGUUUGAAUAAAUUGAUUGUAUUUUGACAAUUUUAUAAUUAAUUAGCAAUUUAACAGGUUUAUUAAUCAGUGGAUAUUACAUGAAUUACACAUAUUUUGUAAAAAAGUUUUAUGGUAGAAAUAAAGCAGUUUCACAUAAUUUUCUAUGUCAUAUUUUCCCUUUGACCUGGGCUGCCUUUGCUUCCAGGUUUAAAACAGUUUCCACCUGUGUUUGUAUUAGCCUGAAAUCUAGUAAAUCAAGACUGUUUAUUGCAGUGUCAUUGUUAUACCUGAAAUGGUCUGUCCUCUACCUUUACUUUCUGUAAAAUCAGCCCUGAACUUCUAGACUAAGAAAUAUCAAAAUAAGAGUCCGAAGCAUUUAUUUUUAUACUACAAUUUUUUCCUCACUUGAAGUUUGAACGUUGAGACAAAUAUUGACUUGGCACUGUUUUUUCCUACAAUCCUUAGGAAAAACCUUGUAAAAUAUCAGUCAAGUAUCCAAAACAUGACUAAAGUAGUAACUUAACAACAUUGCUAAUUUUUAUUACUCAUUUUU